AGAGUUUGAUCCUGGCUCAGGAUGAACGCUAGCGGCAGGCUUAAUACAUGCAAGUCGAGGGGCAGCAUGAGUGUAGCAAUACAUUCGAUGGCGACCGGCAAACGGGUGCGGAACACGUACACAACCUUCCUUCGAGCGGGGAAUAGCCCAGAGAAAUUUGGAUUAAUACCCCAUAGUAUGGUGAAAAGGCAUCUUUUUACUAUUAAAGAUUUAUCACUUGAAGAUGGGUGUGCGGCUGAUUAGGUAGUUGGCGGGGUAACGGCCCACCAAGCCGACGAUCAGUAACUGGUGUGAGAGCACGACCAGUCACACGGGCACUGAGACACGGGCCCGACUCCUACGGGAGGCAGCAGUAAGGAAUAUUGGUCAAUGGACGAAAGUCUGAACCAGCCAUGCCGCGUGGAGGAUGAAGGUCCUCUGGAUUGUAAACUUCUUUUAUAUGGGACGAAAAAGGGCUUUUCUAAGUCAACUGACGGUACCAUAUGAAUAAGCACCGGCUAACUCCGUGCCAGCAGCCGCGGUAAUACGGAGGGUGCAAGCGUUAUCCGGAUUCACUGGGUUUAAAGGGUGCGUAGGUGGGUCGGUAAGUCAGUGGUGAAAUCUCCGAGCUUAACUUGGAAACUGCCAUUGAUACUAUCGAUCUUGAAUACUGUGGAGGUCAGCGGAAUAUGUCAUGUAGCGGUGAAAUGCUUAGAUAUGACAUAGAACACCAAUUGCGAAAGGCAGCUGGCUACACAAAUAUUGACACUGAGG
rnacentral:rRNA from 1 species